AUCAGCGUCUACAACCACCCUUCUUUCUUUUACCCCUCAGAUUUUAGAUUUCUAUUUUUUUCUUUUUCUUUUUCUUUUUUCAGCCAAGCAGAGCUCUCUCUCUCUCAAAUCUUGAACCACCUCCUCCUCCCUCCCUCCUCUCUCUAUCUCACUCAGAUCCUCCGUUGUCUCGGAUCGUUUGUCGUGGCUUCACAAGUUUCAAUUUUUUCGAUAACCUUUAUGACGAUAUCCAUUGGUCUUCGGCAAUUGACACGCCGCUUCUCCAUCUUAUUCUUUAGUAUAUUCUCACAGCGCAGUCUUCCCUCGGCCUUCUCUCUCACCCUCUCAGUCCCGUUAAUUGCCUCUUGCACCAUCGAGUGACCCCACUGAAACCCAGACGAACAACCCUCAAAUUUGACCCAUAAAUCAAACUCAGACCGCUGCCUCCUCUGCUCAAAGGCGAAAGGUAUAGUUGUUUCUUUUCUCCACUUCUUUUUGUAAUUUGAUAUGCAUAUUAUAAUUUGAUAACUUUUGGAAUGUUUGAAAAUUUGAAAGCAGAACUAUCUUGUGUAUUUUAACGAUUUCCUACAUCAUGACCUUAAAUUUCCAGAUUAAUUUACGAAUCCCUAGAUCAUGAGUUUCAGUUUCGAGAUUAAUGAACCAGUAUCUUGUGGAUUUUAACAGGUGCGAAAUCUCUAGUUGUUUGGAACUCAGGUAAAUUUGGUGUCGAAGCCACUUUUGAAUAUGUGUUUGUGAUUCUGUCGAAGCCACUCUUGGCCUCUCCUUCUUUUCAUUGUGAACUUGGACUCUUCAAAGGUGACAUGUUUGAAUCAUUUCUAGGGUUCCAUUUGACAUCGCAUUCGCACUAGCCCAAAUUUCUUUAUAAUUAGGGAGUCUUUGAAUCAUUUUGCAAUUCAAGUUAUGAACUUUGCCCUUAUCUACAUUUGCACUAACCUUCAGUUGUCAUCAUAAAUUUGCUACAUUUUCCUAAUGCUUGAAUUCCUUGUGUUUUUUUCCAAGGUAUUAACUGCACCAUUAUGAUUAAAUGUCAUCUUCUGCUUUCCUCGAAUUUACUAAUUCAUGACUCUUAGAUUCUCUUCAUUUUUGGUACUUCCUUGAGCUUGUGGAUGUAUCUUUUAAAAAUAUUCAUUGUAGUACACAUGGAUGUUGAGGUAACCUUUCCUUCUUUUUGCUUUCCAAGGGUAUGUUGAGGUAAUUCAUAAAUUCAUAUAACAGGGGCACAAGUGCUCUACAUGACAAUCUUUUGCGAUAUUCCAGAAUGCCUAAACUAUACAAACUACAGCUACAAGCCAUGUGUUAUAAUCCUUCACUGCCAAUCUUUGGUAACAAUAAUUGUUUUGUCAGGUGAGAAGAAUACAUUUUGGGGUCAUGUACAUAUGUAUUUUCAUAUAAGAAUGCGACAUAACAUCCUUCUAUUAAAUUUAGUUUCGUUUAAAAAACUGUAAAAUUAUAAACUCAAAUUCUGUUGGUACCAUUAGUUUUUACUACAAUUGACAUUAGGUACAAUUUGUCUUACUAUCUUGGAAAUAUUUGGUGUAGAGGAAUGGAAAAAGGCUUGAAGAUGAGCUGCCCAUUGAAGCAAAUGGAGACUACACCAAGUGAAGGAGGAGGAGCUUAAUUAAUGGUAUUUUAUGGUUGUUGAUGAGCACAUUUUAUAUCUUAAUUUAUAUUCCUAAAAUAUAUUUAUUAGUCCUUUUUGUCUGAUAAAUUUAGUAUUGAGUAGAGUUAGAGACAUAAGGUUAAAUUUGGUGCACUACUUUGACCAACUUUGGCUUCUAUUUGUUAUUGUUGGUAUUUUUCUCUUCUUUCUAAUUUCAUGUCUUUCUUUUUAAGGUACAAUAGACACGCUGGCUGCACACUUAUUUGGUAAUAUGUUGAAGAUAUUUUUCUCUAACAACAAAUGACUUGGAGAGAUAGUCUAGAGUCCUGAAUCUUUGCAUCAUGAGGAGGAUAUGGUUCAGUGGACAGAAUGUUAAGGCCAUGGGCUGAAGCUUUAUAGGCUGUUCUGUUUGAAAACCACAGCUAGGUUGGUGCAUAUCUCUUUGUUUUCACAUGGGUUAAUAAAAAUGUUAUUGGUUCUUUAAUGCUUAUGUGAUCUUGAUUUAUCAUUGCCUGAAAUAACUCCAAGAAAUUAUUUACAUUGAUUCCCAUUUGUUUCUUCAAUGCAAAAUUUAACUGUUAUAUUGUCCAUUCUCAUUCAAAUCAGAAAGUUACUUCUUUUGUAACAAUGGGGAAAUAAUCCUUUUACUAUAUGGUAAACUGAUAUGUGAUCAUUGUCUUUUCCCUUUUUUUUAUUCGUUACAUUUUCUGGAUGUCAGGAAGACGACUGCAUAAUCAAUCAAGUUGGGAGACUUGGUGCUAAAAGAUUGUCUGUUCUUGCAAAGUUCUUACCAGAGUGAGUUAUACUGUGAAAACUCACUUUCAAAUCUUGAGAGAACCACUCAAAUGCAUGAUAAUAUGCAAAUUAGACUGGUUUCCAAUUUAUAAGCAUGCUGUUUGUAUUUCAUUUAUAUUGAUAAGUGAUUUAUAAUUCCUUUGCUACAAGCCACAACGCAUCAUCAUGGCAAGCCAUUCAUGGUCUUAUCUCCCGACUAAUAUCUUAACCAAAGUCGCCGAACGUCUCUCAUAUUGAGUCCGCAACUUUAUUAAAUUGUUUAAGAAUGAUUAACUUUUUUUUUCUUCUUAAUUUUUCUUGACAUUAUUUUUGUUUCAA
rnacentral:lncRNA from 1 species